CCUAAGAUAACGUAUAUAUUCAUAUGAUCAGCGUCAUCAGAAGUUAUCGCUGACGUGGCGAACACCCAUUGGAUUAGGUCUACUGGAAAUAUUAGUACGUGCGUCACACCGGAUUAUUGAUUUUAAUUCUCCGCGAAGAAAAGUGAUCUUUGCAAAGAACGUGGGCCCCAUGCUUACCGGGAAAACCCGAGAAAAUUUUGAAGUUUCCUUUUCUCCUCCACUUUCUCAGUAUCCAAACAAAACCAAAACAAGGCUUCUUCAAGCUCCGUGAAGAAACCGCCGGAGAGUCUGUUACGGUGGUCCAUUUUCCGUGCAAUAUGAAGCGAACUUCUUCAUCGAACUCGGAGGUGCCAAGUCACCUCGACUCGCCCCACUCCCCGCUCCGAUUCCACUCGCCGCUGCGGUCCGACGCCUUAGACCCGCCGGAGAGCCGUUACGCUUCGCCGGAGGGAUCUCCAUUCAAACUGGACAACCCCAAGGCGAUAAUCGCUUCCGAGAAGUUCACCCAGUUUUGUCCGCUUCCCUCGCCGAUUCCGCCGCCACCGCCUCCGCCGCAGAGGAAUGUCGGAGCGUCCGCGAAGUCUCCGUCUUCGAUGGUGGUUUUCAAUCGUUGGGUGAGGGAGGACGCUCCGCAGUCGACGACGAGGAAGGUCGGGCCGCCGAGUAACGGCGUAGAAGCAACGGCGGUGAGGAGGACGAGGAGGGAGGAGCUGGUGGGUGUUGCGGCCCUAGGGUUCAGGUUGAGCGAGGUUGUUUUGAGCUUGAUUUCGUUUUCGAUCAUGGCAGCUGAUAAAACUCAGGGAUGGAGCGGUGAUUCCUAUGAUCGCUACAAGGAGUACAGGUAUUGCUUGGGAGUAAACGUUACAGCCUUUGUUUACUCUGCAUUUCAAGCUUGCGACGCUGCUUGCUAUAUGGCCAGAGAGAAGUACAUGAUCAACUACGGCCUUCACAAUGCACUCGAAUUCUUCAUGGAUCAGGUUCUUGCAUAUCUUCUGAUAUCGGCUUCUUCAUCAGCGGCCACUCGGGUGGACGACUGGGUAUCAAACUGGGGAAAAGACGAGUUCACUCAGAUGGCGACCGCAUCCAUUGUCAUGUCUUUCCUUACAUUCACAGCUUUCGCUUUCAGCUCUAUGAUUUCUGCUUACAAGCUCUUCACUCACGGUUCCUCCUAGCUCUUUUCUCUUCUUCAUCAGCAAUAUGAAGCCUCUGAAUAUCAACAACUCAACUCAUGCUCCUUGUACAGUUCCUUGACAACCCCAAUAACUGAGUUUUCUUGUCAUGAUUUAGUAUCUACAAUAAACCACAAUCUCCUCUCUGCUUUCCAAAACAAAGAGCUGAUA